UGGGGAAUUUUGGACAAUGGGCGAAAGCCUGAUCCAGCAAUGCCGCGUGUGUGAAGAAGGCCUUCGGGUUGUAAAGCACUUUUGUCCGGAAAGAAAUCCUUGGCUCUAAUACAGUCGGGGGAUGACGGUACCGGAAGAAUAAGCACCGGCUAACUACGUGCCAGCAGCCGCGGUAAUACGUAGGGUGCAAGCGUUAAUCGGAAUUACUGGGCGUAAAGCGUGCGCAGGCGGUUUGCUAAGACCGAUGUGAAAUCCCCGGGCUCAACCUGGGAACUGCAUUGGUGACUGGCAGGCUAGAGUAUGGCAGAGGGGGGUAGAAUUCCACGUGUAGCAGUGAAAUGCGUAGAGAUGUGGAGGAAUACCGAUGGCGAAGGCAGCCCCCUGGGCCAAUACUGACGCUCAUGCACGAAAGCGUGGGGGAGCAAACAGGAUUNGAUACCCUGGUAGUCCACGCCCUAAACGAUGUCAACUAGUUGUUGGGGAUUCAUUUCCUUAGUAACGUAGCUAACGCGUGAAGUUGACCGCCUGGGGAGUACGGUCGCAAGAUUAAAACUUAAAUGAAUUGACGGGGUC
rnacentral:rRNA from 1 species